AAAGAGGGCGACUUGGUGGUUUCGGGUAGCGAAGACAAGAAAGUGAUAGUUUGGCAUCCGAAAUAGUUAUAUAUAUAUAUAUAUAUAUAUAAAAGGAAGAAGAAGAAGCCGGUUUCAUUUAUGAUAUACAAGAAACGGAAAACUGCUAGAACGGUAACUGGAGACUCAAUAUUUACAGCAGGUAAUUAUUGCCUAAGGGGGUUGAUGCCUUCGGAUUACCGGAGGCGGCUGAAGAAGUAAAAACCAUCAGACAGUUGCAGUAACUCUGGCUGUUUCCAUGCAGCACUACAGAGACUGACUAGUCGUUUUUAAGCACGAUUGUUGAACUGGGAUAAUUGGCAGUUGGAGGUGGAGGGAGUUUCCACCCUCUCAUUGCACUUCAAUCGAUAAAGCUAGCUGGUACAACUCAACUUGCCCUACCAGCACGAACACACAACAAUGCUAUUUGACGAACUCCAGACACCCAUCGUGCCCCGUGCUUGAUAAAGCUAACUUGCAUGGGUUGUGGGAUUGGAUAGCUAAGCCUAAUUGUCGCCAUUUUCUUUAUGUCUCUCUCUUCUCUCUCCUCCUGCGAGCCUGCAUCAGCCGUUCUGGGAUCUGAUAGUUUUUUUCAUUACGUUUACUCUAGUGUGGAGACAUGUGAGGUAAUGAAAUUAGUACUCCGACCGUACACCAAGAGAAUUUCGGUCGAAUGGGAAAGGGUUCGAGAAAAGUGGGGAUAUAAAAAAAAAAAAAAAAGAUUAAUGAAAGAGAAGUUAUGACGGUAAGGCUUUUAAGUAAUGUUUAAAAGUUGUUUGUUUCUGAGGUUUAAAUGAAUUUUCUCGUGAUAUACUUAUACGUCUCGCUCUUCUCUCUCUUUCUGUUCGUGUUUACAAAUCGAUUUAGACUGUUAAUAAAAUCCAGAGAUUGAAUUUUUACUAAAUGCUGCUUUGUUUUUUUUUACACCAUCCUCAUUACGUAUAAGUAAAGGAUUGAACGGCGGUCGAGUUAAGUACACGCGAAAAAACAGGGAGGGAAG
rnacentral:lncRNA from 1 species